rnacentral:ncRNA from 1 species
AAACAGACAUCGAAAAGAAGAGUAGCAAGGUUUCUUCGUUUUAAGAGAGUCUCUGGCUGGUGAGAAGAGACAACAAGGACUUGUGAACCACAUCUUGGAGUCGUUUUUCUGAAUCGAGUAGGAAAGACCGGGAGUGCCCGUUAUAGCAGCAGUCAUUGUUUGAUGACUUUCUGAGAUCAGUUGCUGUGAAGCACUGAUAAACAAAGGUGGAACCGCGUUGAUAACGUCCUUUAG